UCAACAAGGAAGGAUUGUGGCUUAUAUAUCACACGAACUUAGUCAGGGCCAAUACACCAUCAAAUAGAACACUGUAAAUGCUAGCCCAGUACACUAAGGGUGACCCGAGUUCGGGCAAAUACAGUGCCCCCCACCUCCCCCCAACAACCCCCAUGCAUUUUUUUGCACCUUAUCGUGAACUACCAUAGUCAUGCUAUAUACCAUUUUUAAGCUGAGAAUCUCAAGAAUCGAUAUAUGUAAAGCUUUCCAUGAAUUAACAUAUAUUUUGUGUGUAAAAUAUAAGUUUAUCCCGAUAUAUAACAUAUCAAAUGCCCCCCUCCACCACCCCCAAAGUUGCUGCGUUGAUACUUUGUCACUUGUCUGUAUGGCCGUACCAAUAAGUUAGCCCAGCAUGCUUGGUCUUGAAUUUUUCGUAGGAAUCCAUAGAUGUGAAAUAUUUACAUUGUUUUAUUGCCAAUAUAUUGAGUAGUUGUACACGCCAGCGCAAACAAAACAGAUACAUAAGGAAAGAAGCGAAGUGAAAACUUAUUUUCCGCGGAAAUCCAGGUAUUUCGGUUUGACUUCCAUUAUUGUCGCUGGAUUCACGAGGCUCUUCUGAUUCCAUCAAUACCAAUUACAUGUCUGUAGGACCAAUGAGAGUCGAGAUAGAUGCCAUCAAAGCCAAUGAGUCACGUAAGCGAUGAAUCUGACAACCAGUCUUUGAAUGGCCAUAGCGCUGCGUCUGAACGAGCCAAUGAGAUGGGACCUAGAUGUCCGUGUAGCCAAGGAGCUUUCUUUAGACACGUGACACAUCGUCACAUUCUACUUCCUUGCCGGCUAAACUCAAUGCGCAAUGGUCAUGCGUAACCUGUCGCCGAAGCAGUGGUUUGGAAGUUUGUUACUAAACAAGCAAGAGACAUUUUUUUUAAGGUUUUUGUUCGUAACAUGCCAAAGAGACAAAAAAGACGACACAUGUCGAAGAACCCGAGGACAUUGAUGAUCUGGAGGACAUCGAUGAAGGAGAAGAAAGCAAUUUCUCGGAAUGCGACUCUGAGGAAGAGCAGAACUUUUUAGCUGGGAAGGACCCUGAUUUUGAGCUUGACACCGAUUAAGACUGGGCCCCGCCAAG